UAAUAGUAGCUAAGAUCUUGAAACUCAAAAAAUUUGGCGGUAUUUUAGUCUUUUCAGAGGAACCUGUAGUAUAAUCGAUAAUCCACGAUGGACCUCACUUAAUUUUGUUUUUCAAUUUGUAUACCGCUGUUAUUUGAAGAUUUUAUAAGAAUAAUAAUUUUCAUAAUUUUAUAAAUGAUAAUAAGUCAGGUCAAGGUGCAGUUUAUAAUUAAGAAUUUAUGGGUUACAAUAAAUUUAUUUAAGCGAAUUAUGCUAUGAAAUUAGUGUAUAAAGAUGGAUUUGAAAGUAAAUUUUUAAAGAUUAUAGAAUUGAUUAUAGCUCUAAAAUAUGCACACAUCGCCCGUCACUCUUGUUAAUAAAAUAAGAUAAGUCGUAACAUAGUAGAUGUACCGGAAGGUGUAUCUAGAAAGACAAUUUAAAGCUUAUUAAGUAAAGCAUUUCAUUUACACUGAAAAGAUUAUUGUGCAAAUCAUUAUAAAUUGAUAUAAUUUGAUUAUUAAUUAUUUAUUU
rnacentral:rRNA from 1 species